rnacentral:rRNA from 1 species
ACACUCCUACGGGAGGCAGCAGUGGGGAAUUUUGGACAAUGGGCGAAAGCCUGAUCCAGCAAUGCCGCGUGAGUGAAGAAGGCCUUCGGGUUGUAAAGCUCUUUUGUCAGGGAAGAAACGGUGAAAGCUAUAUCUUUUGCUAAUGACGGUACCUGAAGAAUAAGCACCGGCUAACUACGUGCCAGCAGCCGCGGUAAUACGUAGGGUGCAAGCGUUAAUCGGAAUUACUGGGCGUAAAGCGUGCGCAGGCGGUUUUGUAAGUCUGAUGUGAAAUCCCCGGGCUCAACCUGGGAAUUGCAUUGGAGACUGCAAGGCUAGAAUCUGGCAGAGGGGGGUAGAAUUCCACGUGUAGCAGUGAAAUGCGUAGAUAUGUGGAGGAACACCGAUGGCGAAGGCAGCCCCCUGGGUCAAGAUUGACGCUCAUGCACGAAAGCGUGGGGAGCAAACAGGAUUAGAUACCCUUGUAGUCCC